rnacentral:lncRNA from 1 species
AAGAGCUCCUGGACCUCAUUGGAGAUGGCAGUUAAUGCAGAAACUCACAACUUGUCAGUCUUUUGUUUGCUCAGCCACAAAUGAGAUAUCUAUACUACACUCCUUCACCCUGAGGCCCAGGGACCAUCAUGGAAGAUGAGUCUGCAGAUUGUCAGAGGUCUGACAAGAGCCAGCUACAGUCUUACUUGGAGUUCCACUCGGGCCAUUCAUCAUCCAGUGGAUCCAGAGCCUGUUCACGGGGUGCUGAGAACUACGGAAAAUGACGUAAGAAGUUCUUCACGAAGGAUGGGCAGUCAGAACCACGACACAAGUGCCUGAUGGCUCAGUGUACACUCCUUUCCAACGCCUCCACGCAAGUUCGAUACUGUUGGAGCUCCUCUGUUUCCACUCAAGUUGGAGCGGUGCUUUGUCUCAAGUCUUGGAACUAGGUAACAGGCCGGGAGGGAGGAGACACGAAACGUUGCUAACGGUCCUUAGCAAUUUCCUGGACCCAAAGCUUUCCUCAGUGAUGUGUGAAGCUAAGCUGUCCAUCCAGCUGUGCUACCCCGAUUCGCUAAAGAUGUGGAACUAAA